rnacentral:lncRNA from 1 species
CUUCUGCCACUUGGACAUCAUCUGGGUGAACACUCCUGACAGACAGCUCCUUACGGCCUGGGAAACCCGCCAAGACGCCGGCGCCGCUCCCUGCCAAGGCGCUGUCAGUGCUCCAGUGCCAGGGACCCCGCCUGUGCCACCUUCUGCCUUCGAAGGCCCUGACUGAAGCCGGGGCAGUCCCAAGCCGGAAGUCCCCUGCAGACGUGUUCCAGACUGGCAAGACAGGGGCCACUACAGGAGAGCUUCUCCAAAGGCUGAGCCUGGAAGUGGACUUUUUAGAGGGUUUGAAGGCUCAUGACUGGGAAGGACCACAGUUGUUCGUUCAGGCUGUGCUGAAUGGAGCAUCUCACACAUGCUGGGGUCCAGAGGGGCCAACUGCCCAGCCUGCUCCCUCUCUGCUGCCCAGAUUGCAUCUCCUCCCUGGUGCCUCAGGGACAUUUCCACAGUCAAGAGCCUCUUUGCCAAGCGACAACAGGAGGC